rnacentral:lncRNA from 1 species
GGAGAUUAAAGACUUUCUGAGACAAAAACAACAGUGUGUUUAUUGAUGCUGGACCUGCUCUUCAAGAAAUGUUAAAAGUUGUUUAUUGAAUAAAAAAAUGGUCCAAGUCAGUGAAAUGUAGAAUUUCUAAAUACAUUAGAAAAUAAAUUCAAUUGUAAAAGUGAAAAAAAAAAUAAUAAAUAUGUUGUCUAUAAGAAAUUCACUUUAAAUAUAAAGACAUAGAUUCAAAGUAAAGGGUUGGGGGAUGAUAUACUAAAGCAAAAGAAAGCUGAAGUGGCUGUGUUCUUUUCAGAUGAAACAGACUUCAGAACAGGAAAUAAGUCAGGGACAAAGACGAGCAUUUCAAAAUGAUCAUAGAGUUAAUUCUCCAAGAAUGUAUAACCCUAAUGGUAUACACCAAAACUGCCCAAGCCUGUUCAUUUAUAUGUAAAGCAGGAAACACUCACUAGAGGAUUUUACAAUUAUAAAAAAUAUGUAAAGAGACCAUUCAAUGGGCAAUGUAUCUUAUUGUUUCUUAGUAUGGUAUAUCUGCCCAAGAUGAUCUGUUUCCAUUUUCAUUUCCACUUUCACUUACUGCUACUCUUCCUUAAGCCUGCUUACUGCAGCCAAGCCGAUUGCCAAUGGUUUCAUAAAUGAGCCCACAUUCUUGUUUAGGUAUUCACUUUUCACAUGUACAGGUGUCCUUCAGUAUUCACAGGGGAUUGGUUCCAGAAGCCACGAUGUAUACCAAUAUCCAUGGAUGCUCAUGUCCUUUAUAUAAAAUGGCCAUAGUGCAAUGAAUACAGUUGACUUUCCUUCAUCUGCCAGUUUAGAUAUGGAGGUCCAACUGCAUGUUUAUUGAGAGAAAUACAUGCAUGCAUUGACCCACACAGUUCAAACCCAUGUUGUUCAAGUGUCAACUGUGAUUUCUUCUGAGUGGAGUGAUGCUCCCUGUCACCAAACUCAACCUACUACCUUGCAAAAUCUUCAAAAACCUACAAGGAAUUGAUACUCUAUUAGUUGCUAUGUUUUCACUGUUUUCAUAUAAAUUAUAGUUAACUUUAAUUAGAAUUUAUUUUAUUGCAUUAUGUAUAAUUUCCCUCGUAUCUUUUCCUCCAUUUGUAGUGGGAGUUCCUAUUAUAGAGGGAUUGCAUGAUACUUCAUUUUUAACUCUUUGCACUUAGAGAAACAACUUGCAUGGGACAGUCUUGAUAAUGAAAGGACACUAGAUUACUCAUCAUUCCCAGAGCAAUGGAUAUACAUUUUUCUUAUCUUUACAUGGCUUAUUUUUCUCUAAUUUGGAUAUUUGUUUCCUCUCUAUGGCUGAUAAACUCUUAUUCAUAAUUGAUGAUUUGCUCAACUGUAGCAUUCUUGUGAUUCAUUUUAGAUGUUUAAUAAUUGUAGAUUCCAUGUUUAGGUUUCUGAUCCAUCUCAAAUCAGUUUUUGAGUCUGAUAUGUGAAGUGGCAAAAGUUUAUUUUCUCCCAUUUAUUAAUUUUUUUUUGGUCUUUUGAGGGCCACACCCAAGGCAUAUGGAGGUUCUCAGGCUAGGUGUCUAAUUGGAGCUGCAGUUGCCAGCCUUUACCACAGCCACAGCAAUGUGGGAUCUGAGCCCAUGACCUACGCCACAGCUUCUGGCAAUGCCAGAUCCUCAACCCACUGAGCAAGGCCAGGGAUAUAACCUGUGUCUUCAUGGAUGCUACUCAGGUUUGUUAAGCACUGAGCCAUGACGGGUACUCCUAUUUUCUCCCCAUAGUCUUUAUUCCAUUGCUUCAACACACCACUUGCUGAAAAGAUUUUUCUCUCUCAGUUGAAUUACUUUGUUGCCUCUCAAAAAUAUUUUGAUUAUAAUUAUGAAGAGCUAUUUCUGGAAUCUCUUUUGUUGCAUUGAUCUAUUUGACUAUUUUAUGCCCACACCAUGGACUUGCUUACAUUAGCUUUAUGGUAAAUCUUGAAGCCAAGUAGCAAAAAUCCUCAAAUUUUGUUUUUCUUUUUCAGUAAUGGUUGACUCUUCUAUCUAGGUCCUUUGCAUUUCCAUAUAAAUUUUAGUAUUAGUUUGUCAGUAAUCACAGAAAGCCUGUUAGGAUAUUGAUUGAAAUUGUAUUCUGUCUUUGAUUAAUUUGGAGAAAAUUUAUUUCUUUAAAAUAUUUCAUCUCAAAUUUCUCUUACAGUUUUGUAGUUUUCAGAGUAGUGGUCUUGCUCAGCUUUCAUUACAUAUAUCCCUAGGUGUUUUAUUUUUAUGAUAUUGGGAAUGGCAUUGAUUUUCAAAUUUCACUUCACAAUUGUUUGUUGCCACUUUAUAGAAUAUAAUUGAUUUUUAUAUUGAUCUUGAAUUCCAAGACCUUGCUGAAAUCACCCAUUACAUGUGCUAUGUGUUAUUGUCUAUGAAAAAAAUUUACUUUUUCUUCCCUCCCUCUCAUUUUCCUUAAAUACACUGGCUAAGAUUCUUAGCACAAAAUACAGUGUGUUGAACAAGAAUGGUGAAAAAUACAGAGCCUUUUAUUCUCCUCAAUUUUAGUGGUGGUGAGUCAUAUCUAAUAUUUCAACAGUAAAUCUGAUAUCAGCUGAAAGUUUUUCACAGUUUUUAUUUUUUUUAAGAUAGAGGGUAUUUUCUUCAUUUCUAGAUCCUGAGAGGUUUUUUUUUUUUUAAUCAUAAUGAGUGUUAGAUUUUAUCUAAUCCUUUUUUUGGUCUCUGUUAAGAUAACCAUAUGACUUAUCUCCUUUAUUCUUUUUAAUAAAUGGAUUCUUUUUAAUGUAAUGGAUUACAUUCAUCAACUUCUGAAUGUUAACAUAAUCUUAAAUUCUUCUCAUAAAUUCUACUUAGCCAUUAUGCAUUUUCUAAUUACACAUAUUUUAGAUUGUCUGGUAUUUUCCCUCAGGUAAUUAUCAUUCUGCUCAUUUGUUUUUUUACAUAUUUUUUCCUCUCUAAUUCCUUUAGGGUAGUUUCUAUCAACCUGUUUUUAUUUUUUUAAUUAAAAAAUUUUUUCUUUUUCACAGCUGUACCUGCAGCAUAUGGAAGUUCCUGGGCUAGGGGUUGAAUUGGAGCUGCUGUAGCAGGCCUAUGUCACAGCCGGGGCAACACCGAUUUCAAGAUGCAUCUGUGACCUACAGUGCAGCUUGCAGCAAAUCUGGAUCUUUAACCCGCUGAGUGUGGCCAGGGAUCGAACUUGCAUCCUCAUGGAGACAGGGGUUGGUUCUUAACCAACUGAGCCAUUAUGGGAACUCCUCAACCUGUUUUUAAAUUCACUGAUCAUUUCUUCUGCAGUGAAUUUAAUUCUAUGUUAGAUUGUUAGGCCAAUUUUUAUAUUGCAGUUUCUAGAAUUCUAGACGUUAGUAGUUUCCUUUUCUCUGCUGAGAUCUGUUGUUCCUGUAAAUCUCUGUACCUAUUUAGGAUAGUUUAUUUAUUUUUUAAUUUUUAGGCCUACACUUGUAGCAUAUGGAGGUUCUCAGGCUAGGGGUCAAAUCUGAGCUACAGCUGCUGGCCUACACCACAGCCAUGGCAACAUGGGAUCUGAGCUGUGUCUGAGAACUGCAACACUGGAUCCCCUACCCACUGAGUGAGGCCAGGAAUUGAAUCUGCAUCCUCAUGGUAUACUAGUCAGAUUCGUUUCCCCUGAGGCAUGACGGGACUCCUAGGAUGGUUAUUUUAAAGUUCACAUUUACCAGUGCACUGGUAUUAUGAGCUUAGGUCCCUUAGAAAUCUGUCUGCUGAGUCGAUACAUUAUGAUGCCACAAAAUUGGAAUAAUGGAAGUAACUCUGAAAAUGGUUAAAAAGUAUUUCGAUAUCCUAUAGACCAAAUGAUGGGGAUUACAGGCUUUGGAAUAUAGCGGAGUUUUAAUUCUGGCUCUAAGCCACUUAAUUCCUACAUGGCUUUGGUAACAUUACUAGACAGUUCAAAUCCUUGAUUUUCUACUCUUAUAAAAUGAUAAUAAUUACUUCAUAUAACAAUUUAAAGUUUUAAACAAAGAUGUGAAUAUAAAGUAUAUGGCCUAAUGUUUGGUAUCUAAUAACCAUUCAAUUCAUGGGGACUGCUUAUUAAUAUUCUUAGCCAGGAGGUGCUGUGCUGCACUGAACAAGAGGGUCCUCUAUGGGUCACUGUUGACAUACUGAUCUUUGAAUUCUUAUAGAAUUCCUAUAGAAUUUUAUUGUAGAGGCAUAGACUAAGGUUAAUGAAAGAAGGUCAAAGAAAUAUAUUAAAGUUUUCUUAAGUAUGGAAGCAAGUAAUUAAAGUAAACACAAACUCUCAUAUAAGGAUGGUUUGGUUUAUAGCUUUUUAUAGUUCAUGCUCAACUUUGAGGCCAUUCCUCAAUAACAUGAGCUUAGAGAUAUCUCAUGUUAUCAUGUUGUCUUCUCUUUUUUUUAGAAACAAACAAACAAAAAGGCAUGAGAAACAGAAAUUCAAGCUCUACAUUUGAUUAAGGACAUCUGUACCCUUAAUAAUCAGAUAUCUAAAAAGGGCUGCCACAGCAGUAGGAAAAAUGCUAAAAGGGGCUUUUAUGACUCUAAAUUCUUGGAUCAAGCUGACUGAGGAAAGUUCUUAUUCUGAAGAGCAAACCAACAAUUUUUAUUUUGUGAAACAGGCCUGAGUUUCACAGGCAGAGGGUUUCAUUUUCCCCUCUUCCCAAUGGAGUAAGAGGGAGGGCAAAAAUAAGUGCACUGGAAAUGUGGCAUGGCAAGAGCUGUUAUAUGUAGCACUCUAGCUGGAGGUCUCUUUUUAAUGGAAAAAAUAGAGUUAAAUCAACCUGGACAUGAAGACAAUGUAAUCAUAACCCAGGGAGAAUUCUUGUUAGUUUUGUAAUCUUGCUCUAGUGUCUAUCUAAUAAGAACUCUAGAAAUACUGAUGAAGAAGUAUUUCUUUUCAUUUGAAGGCAAGUAAUUAAAAAAAAGGAGUCAGUGCAAAUAUACUACAUAGAAAAGAGGAGAAAAGGGAAAGAUGGAUUAAAAAAACUCACCCCAAAUCAUGUCAAUGGUCAGAUAUACUGAGUUAAAACACCAGCAUGACUGAGCGCAACUUAAUAAAACAAGCAUGAAUUCAUGGCUGAGAAAUAAAAGCUCAAUGGUUUAGAAUGAGAUCACAGAUGUAGAAGUAGCAUGAGAAAUACAGAAGUGAAGGAAUACUUAGAAGAUAAAAUAAUCACAGAAAAAAUGUUACCAUUGACAGUUGCAUAUAUGAAAAUAGAUAUUUGUGGAAAAUACAAUAAAAGUUAUGAAAGACAGAUUUUUUUUUUCCUUUUUACAACUGUACCUGUGGCAUGUGGGAGUCCCCAGACUAGGAGUCAAAGCAGAGCUGCAGCUGCAUGUCUACACCAUAGCCACAGCCACACCAGAUUUAAACUGCAUGUAUGACCUACACUGCAGUUUGUGGCAACAUGGAUUCUUAACCCACUAAGUGAGACCGGGAUCAAACCCACAUCCUAAUGGAGACUACUCAGGUUCUUAACUCACUGAGCCACAACAGGAACUCCAGGGCAGAAUUUUUUUAAAUGAGCAAAAAGAAAUGAAACAAGUGAUUUUAAGGGCUAGAAAUAAACCAGUGUCUAUAGAACAAAGGAUCUUACAUUAACCAUAAUUAGUGCCCUUAAAGAGAAACCAAAAAUUAGAAAAUAAACAUUUAAUGAUAUAUUUCUAGGGGAAUUUCCACAAAUAAUAGAAGAUUUGACUUUAUUGGUUGAAAUGACUCACUGGAGGAGUUCCCGUCAUGGAGCAGUGGAAAAGAAUCCGACCAGAACCCAUGAGGUUGCAGGUUCAAUCCCUGGCCUCACUCAGUGGGUUAAGGAUCCGGCAUUGCUGUGAGCUGUGGUGUAGGUUGCAGAUGAGGCUCGGAUCUGGCAUUGCUGUGGCUCUGGCAUAGGCUGGCAGCAAUAGCUCUGAUUAGACCCCUAGCCUGGGAACUUCCAUAUGCCCAGGUGCAGCCCUAAAAAGACAAAAAAAGAAAAGAAAAA